rnacentral:lncRNA from 1 species
ACUGUCUCAUGGCUUUGCACCCAGUUCUGCGGCUUCUGGAGCUGCUUCUGCUCUCUCCAUGUGGUGAGGAAGGCCACCCAUCCUGCAGAUAGAUGGACUGGACUUUCCUCAGUAAGCACAAUCAGCUCUUGACCACACUGUACAGCCCAUAGAACACAGACGUGGUGAACAGGGCUGGACAGUCCCUCCAGCAGGAGCUGGCAGCAGCUGCAGAGCUAGGACACAACCUCACAACCCUGCACUCGACAGCCUUCUUCAUGGUGCACAGGAGAUCUCCAGCUGUGGCACCUUGCAAGGGAACUAUAAGACAUCCCAAUGGGAACAAUCCCACAUUUCAAGUGGUGUUUAGAGGUGACCUGCUCGCUUCCCUGGAGGAGACAGGGAAGAGACAUGGGGGUCCUCACCAUGCGUGCCUCUGGGAUGAAGUGGUGAAUGCAGAGGUGUGGCAUCCUGAAGUUGGCAGCAGAGGGACAAGCAUGGGCCGACACGGGAGAAGCUUUCGAGGCAUGCAUUUGGACAGACAGGCCAGUAAGCAGCCUCAGCCUAAUACACCCUGUUAUACCCAGAAGAAGCUCUCUCCUUACUGUUUGGAGCGGUGCUGGUAGGAAGGCAAGGAAUAGGUGGAGGACAGGUGGGAAGCCUGCCAGCGGCACAAAGCUCCCCCUCCAUGGGAUUCAGCCAUCCCCACCUUUGCCCAGAGUGGGGCACUGAGAGGACACCACUGCUGGUGUGCAGACAGAGGGUUCCAGGGAGUGAGGGUGGGAAAUGCCCUGGCAGAGCUCAGGGCCCCUGGGGAAAGCAGGAAAAUAGCUGAGAGGGAGAUAAGCCUGGAGUACAAUACCCUGGCUGAGGUCUCCACACAGACACAGUCAGAAAAGCUGCUGCUCCCAUUUCCUAUGACACAGAGGAGCCUUCCAGCAGCACUGCCCUGGGGAGGGUCUGUGCCUGCUAAAGGGCUGCUGGUGUUAGGGGAAGCUGCCAUAGCUGGCAGUAGGUGGGGAUCUACCCUCGCCACCUGGCUGGACUGACAAGCUUGGCAUCUUUUGCAUAUCCUUUUGCUGUGUUGUCAGCAAGACCUGGCUUCC